rnacentral:lncRNA from 1 species
GGAGGAAGAAGGGAGGAACAAGAGAGAGAGGUUUCCAGAAGUUCCCUAGUCAUUGGGCAUUUCUGAGACUCUUGAUGCAUAUGCCAAGUAGUUAUGGAGAAAGACAUAGCCGCUUACCUCUGCAGGCAUCAUUGUGUGAAAGGAAGACCGAGGCUGUCUCACCACCCUUGAAGAGAAGCCUUUUGCUAAGGUGAUAGCUGCAUGUCCAAGCCUAUUGCGUGGCAUGGAUUUUGCCUUCUACAGCCCACUAAAGGAGUUUGCAGUUCACCCGCAAACCUCAGCGAUCCAAGCUCCCCUGGAUGACCAUCACUCACCUAGAAAAGAACAAUAACAGGACCUGUUUUGCUAAUCCAGGACUGUUCUCCAGCACUAACUCUAAAUAAUCCCUUCUGUUAGAGUCCACUUUCUGGAACCUGUUGCCUCCGUUUUCAACGUUUCCCAAACUUGGUCCGUUGUGUGAGUUGGCUGUUAAAAGUUCCAGGGCCUUGCUCUCAAGGCCCAUUUUCCAGGAAAAUCUGAGCCAUGAUGCUGGGGAGGACACUUAAGUACAUCAGUCAAUCAGAUGAUUAUUAAAUUUAGGAAAUAGUAGAUCAACUGGAUUAACUGGAUUAAAAUGCAGAAUCCCAGGCCCCAGCCCAGACCUACUGAACCAGCAUCUGCUCUUUAACAAGAGCCCCAUGUGAUGUGUAGGACAGAAAACUUUGCAAAGCACAGGGCUAGACAAUCUCUAAGGUCUUCUGCAGAUCAGAAACACAGCAAUUCUGAGGUUUUCUUCAAUUUUCUAAU